rnacentral:lncRNA from 1 species
GGAGGACGUGAAUUAGGGUAGAGGUUAGGGGUGGAAGUGCGCCGGUAAUAGUAGGGGAGCGAUCUUUUGUGUCUAGAGUUUCUUGUUCAUAGUGUUGUGGUUGUAGUAUUAUCGUGUGGCUAUUUUGCAUACCGUAUUAGUUUAUAUGCACUUAUCUUUGGUGUUUGUUAUACUGUUAGUUUAUUUUGUAUACCGUACUAGUUUAUAUGCACUUACCUUUUGUGUUUGGUAUACUGUUAUCUGUCCUAAGCCGGGGGUCUAUCGGAAACAACCUCUCUAUUUCUCCUAAGGUAGUGGUAUGAUCUGCGUACACUCUACCCUCCGCAGACCCCACUAUGUGGGAAUACACUAGGUAUGUUGUUGUUGAUUAAUUCGCAG